GACGAACGCUGGCGGCGUGCUUAACACAUGCAAGUCGAACGGAAAGGCCUGCUUUCCCUUGUGGAUUGCGGGUACUCGAGUGGCGAACGGGUGAGUAACACGUGAGUGAUCUGCCCCCAACUUGGGUAUAAGCCUGGGAAACUGGGUCUAAUUCCCGAUAGGACUGCAGGGUGGUGCCUGUGGUGGAAAACGAUUUUCUAGUGGUUGGGGAUGAGCUCGCGGCCUAUCAGCUUGUUGGUGGGGUAAUGGCCUACCAAGGCGGCGACGGGUAGCCGGCCUGGGAGGGUGGACGGCCACGUUGGGACUGAGAUACGGCCCAGACUCCUACGGGAGGAAGCAGUGGGGAAUAUUGCACAAUGGGCGGAAGCCUGAUGCAGCGACGCCGCGUGGGGGAUGACGGCCUUCGGGUUGUAAACUCCUUUCGACCGCGAGGAAGCCACCUGGUUGGAAGGGUGGUGACGGUAGUGGUAGAAGAAGCACCGGCUAACUACGUG
rnacentral:rRNA from 1 species